GUUUUUUAUUGUUUGUAUAUUUUAUCUUAAAAACACAACAUUUUCAAUGCAAUGGCAGAUUGCAUUUAUUUUCCGCACAGGGGGAGUUGAGGACAAUGGAAAAUCAAUGGGAGGGGUGUAAAAAAGGCCUUGGAAAAUCCAGGGGGAGGGGUGAAAAAGACCACAGAAAUCCAGGGGGUGGGUUGAUUAGAGACCAAAAUCCAGGGCAUGGUCUGCAAUUAAAGUCAUUUUUCAGGGGUAUCUGCAUAGAUAUCUUAUAUACACUAGAUAGCGUAUCUCUUUUAGUAAAAUUGAAGACAAGAAUAUUCCAGCGGUUACCCCCAUUUGAAUAGAUGGCGGCCAUGUUG